AUUGAACGCUGGCGGCAUGCCUUACACAUGCAAGUCGAACGGCAGCACGGGAGCAAUCCUGGUGGCGAGUGGCGAACGGGUGAGUAAAGCAUCGGAACGUGCCCAGUCGUGGGGGAUAACGUAGCGAAAGUUACGCUAAUACCGCAUACGAUCUAUGGAUGAAAGCGGGGGAUCGCAAGACCUCGCGCGAUUGGAGCGGCCGAUAUCAGAUUAGGUAGUUGGUGGGGUAAAGGCUCACCAAGCCGACGAUCUGUAGCUGGUCUGAGAGGACGACCAGCCACACUGGGACUGAGACACGGCCCAGACUCCUACGGGAGGCAGCAGUGGGGAAUUUUGGACAAUGGGCGCAAGCCUGAUCCAGCCAUGCCGCGUGCAGGAUGAAGGCCUUCGGGUUGUGAACUGCUUUUGUACGGAACGAAAAGGUUUGGCUUAAUACGUUGAACUCAUGACGGUACCGUAAGAAUAAGCACCGGCUAACUACGUGCCAGCAGCCGCCGUAA
rnacentral:rRNA from 1 species